GUAGGGUGCGAGCGUUGCCCGGAUUUAUUGGGCGUAAAGGGCGCGCAGGCGGCCACGCACGUCCGUUGUGAAAUCGCUCGGCUCAACUGGGCGGGGUCAGCGGAUACGGCGUGGCUGGAGCAAGCUAGGGGGCAAUGGAAUUCCCGGUGUAGUGGUGGAAUGCGUAGAUAUCGGGAGGAACACCAGUGGCGAAGGCGGUUGCCUGGAGCUUUGCUGACGCUGAGGCGCGAAAGCGUGGGGAGCGAUCCGGAUUAGAUACCCGGGUAGUCCACGCCGUAAACGAUGCGGACUAGGUGUCGGGGGUAUCGACCCCCUCGGCGCCGCAGCUAACGCAUUAAGUCCGCCGCCUGGGGACUACSGCKYCAAGGCUA
rnacentral:rRNA from 1 species